AUGUUCAUACCAACGGAUAUGAGAUGUGUGUAUAUGAUAUACGAGUGUCCUCUUGGGUAUACCCAUUUCAGUAUGGAUGUCCUCUCUGUUGUGGUCAACCCUGGAGAGGAGAUGUGUGUAUAUGAUAUACGAGUGUCCUCUUGGGUAUACCCAUUUCAGUAUGGAUGUCCUCUCUGUUGUGGUCAACCCUGGAGAGGAGAUGUGGAACAUGUAGAAAACAGUAGAAAUAAAGAAAAACCCUUGAAUGAGUCGGUGUGUCCAACGCUUUGACUGCUACUGUACGUAUGUUAAUGCUUGGCUAGAACAAAAGCCUGCAUCCAUAACAGCUCACUCAAUGUUCUCCAAAAUUACCUCUGAUUGCUCAUUUGUGUCCCUCCUCCUUGUGACCUUGUGUCACGGCCGGUCCAUCAAAGCAAUUUCUAUCAGGGGAUCCAUGUCAGUGUGCUGGAGCUCUGGCCGGUUCAAAGGUUGAAAAGGUUCCCCUUGCAGGGGAUCAGCUGGGCUCUGGUGUAACCCAGGGAUGGGCCUGUUUGGGGGGGAAAUGAUUAACGGUGGUCUGGUGAUGACGGAGGCUGGGCGCCCUGACCUUUCCGUCCUGGCUGUAUUUGCGGCAUCGGUAAGCACCAGGCUUUAACAGCACCAUGGAUCCUGGUAGUGCCCAGACAGCUGCAGCGUUACCCCCCCGGCUGGGCUUAUCGACUGGGCUGGUAGCCCAGGGAUGAGGAUACAUGGGGGCCAGCAAUGGGAUGGGGGGGUUGAGGGGGUGUAGAGUAGCAUGGGGGAAAGGGGAUGGUGUGGGGAGGGGAGGGAAUUAAGGGCUGGAACGAGGACGCAUUGAGCUGGGCGAAGAGAUGGGGUGGGGACGGGGAAUUGAGGGGUUGGGAAGAGGGUCAAGGGCUGGGGCCAGGAAUGGGGCUGGAGCCAAGCGCUGGGGCUAGGAGUGAUAUGAAUUGUGUCAAUAUAAUGUCAACAUAAGCAUCCUGGCAUUGGCAGUGAAUGACAUGAAUGAAACAUGACAGAUCAUCAAUUAGUGAGUGUGGUAGUCGGGUUGACU
rnacentral:lncRNA from 13 species